CUGCGGUAUUAACGAAUUUCUGAGUAGAAUGGUGAGAGAGCAUUACUCGUCGUCGCCAUCAUGGUUCGCCGACACAGUUACUGUUGCAGUGCUUUUUCUCGUAGCAGUUCAUGUCAUUGCAUUGGUAUAUUCGCUUUAUAAAUUAGCGAACUUCAGACAACCCCAAGGAAAAAAGAUUCAAUGACCAACACCAACAGAUUGAUUCAUUGAACAUUAAGUUUGGUGAACCUCGGAUUGCUCUUGUAGGAAAUCUUUACUCGAUAUAGUUCAUUUGAAAGGAUCGUUUCAUAGUCUGCCGAAAAUUUCUGCUCGGUCAUUCCUUCGAGAGUUCGUAAGUCCUCGGACUCUUAACUACUCGCGGUUCUAUUAUAGUAUUUGAUUGCAUCACUUACCAUUUCAAGCAGUGACUGCAUCGACAUUGAUCAGAUUGUAACUCUGAUGAUCAUGUGAAGGAAUUUUGUCAAUUCUCCAAAUCUGUUGAUUAUUAAAUCAGUUUUCUUUAGCUAUUGUCUUUUGUGUUAAA